AGUCGGGCAUUAUUUCCUGGAGUAUGAACAGGUUUUAUCUUCUUGCAGUAUAAUAUGUUCUAUAAUAUUUAGUUAAUAUCUGGAUUUUCAAAAUGAAAGAUGAAUCUUCUAAAAAGGAUGGUAUAUUCAUCCAAUAACAUUCAAAGUAUUGUAGGACACGAUCUUUUAAAGAAAAAAUAUGCAAGUGAUAGUUGAUCUUUUUAAAAGGCAUUCUUAACUUGUAUCUUAUCAAGCUUUCAUUUAAACUGUGAAUAUGCUUCUAGGACAAUUUAUGUAUAGAGAAGGGGUAAGCUUGAGGCAAUUAUAAUAAAGUAGAUUGCCUCCAUUCCAUGAUGUGGAAUUUUUUAAAAAAACGAUUCAAGCCCUAUGCAAUUAAUGACUGUAUAUUUUGAUAUCAGAAGUGAUUGCACUGAUAGCUUCUUGUCUUUUGUCUCCUGCUACAAAAUGAGAGUGUUUUCUAGCUCUCCUAAACGUAUGGGGAACAGAAAUUGGAAAGUAUUUUAUCUAUCUAUUUAGAGCAGUCAUGCCAUAGUGUUCAGAAAAAAGCCUACCAAAGGAUCUUACAAAUUAUUAAUUUGAUGAUUUCCUGCCUUCAGACUUACAAUUUAAAUAAGAUAAGAAACACAAACAUAGAGAAUGGUGGGAGGGGAGGAAAUUAAGUCCAGAAAUUUCUUGCUACUUGUAUGUCUUUCACAGCAAUGAGAGCAGAGGGAGGGCAAAAAAUAUUGGAGAGAGAUUAAUGGGGAAAUUCAAAAGAUCUUACAGAUAAGUUUACAAUUGAAACCAGAAUAUUUUCUUUUAGGCAUCAUCGAUAUAAAGUUAGAGAAAAAUAAAGAUAUCUUGUUCAAUUAUUUGACAACCACAGCAAGAAUUGUCUACGCAAGUCAUUGGUGGACAAAUGAAAUACCUUACACUAAAGAAUCGUUGACGAAUAUGUUAGAAAUAAUGAGCAUGGAUAGACUGACACACAAAUUAGCUAUAGGCCAAGAUAAACCGGAAAACUUUAUGAAACAGGAAGAAUUGAGAAUAUUACUUUAAAGCAGAAAGAAAAAUAAAAGAUAUUAACCCUAGGGAACUCAUAACAAUCUCGAGGAAGAAUAGAUAUAUGAAAUAAAGUUUUAAAGGACUUCACGAUGAAGAGGAUUGGAAGCCACCAUAUAUAUAUUUAUUUAUUUAUUAUUAUUUAUUUUUUUCAUCUUCUUAUUUUUCUUAUUUUACCUUUUUGGGAACUAUUUCAUAAAAAAAAUAUUUAAAAUGAGAGAAGGAGGGAAAAGAAGGUCCGUUAUUUUAUUUAUUUAUUUAUUUACAGCAUUUAUAUUCCGCCCUUCUCACCCCGAAGGGGACUCAGGGCGGAUCACAUUACACAUAUAGGCAAACCUUCAAUGCCUUUUAAUAUAGAACAAAGACAAACAAACAUAGGCUCCGAGCAGGCCUCGAACUCAUGACCUCCUGGUCAGAGUAAUUCAUUGCAGUGAUUCAUUGCAGCUGCUCUCCAGCCUGCGCCACAACCUGAGCCCUCCCCCCUCCCCUUUACAAAGUGACAAAGCGGGUGAGGACACACCAUACUCCCCUC
ensembl:lncRNA